GAACGCUAGCUACAGGCUUAACACAUGCAAGUCGAGGGGCAGCAUCAUCAAAGCUUGCUUUGAUGGAUGGCGACCGGCGCACGGGUGAGUAACACGUAUCCAACCUGCCGACAACACUGGGAUAGCCUUUCGAAAGAAAGAUUAAUACCGGAUGGCAUAAUUAUUCCGCAUGGGAUAAUUAUUAAAGAAUUUCGGUUGUCGAUGGGGAUGCGUUCCAUUAGGCAGUUGGCGGGGUAACGGCCCACCAAACCUACGAUGGAUAGGGGUUCUGAGAGGAAGGUCCCCCACAUUGGAACUGAGACACGGUUCAAACUCCUACGGGAGGCAGCAGUGAGGAAUAUUGGUCAAUGGACGAGAGUCUGAACCAGCCAAGUAGCGUGAAGGAUGACUGCCCUAUGGGUUGUAAACUUCUUUUAUACGGGAAUAAAGUGAGCCACGUGUGGCUUUUUGUAUGUACCGUAUGAAUAAGGAUCGGCUAACUCCGUGCCAGCAGCCGCGGUAAUACGGAGGAUUCGAGCGUUAUCCGGAUUUAUUGGGUUUAAAGGGAGCGUAGGCGGGUUGUUAAGUCAGUUGUGAAAGUUUGCGGCUCAACCGUAAAAUUGCAGUUGAUACUGGCGACCUUGAGUGCAACAGAGGUAGGCGGAAUUCGUGGUGUAGCGGUGAAAUGCUUAGAUAUCACGAAGAACUCCGAUUGCGAAGGCAGCUUACUGGAUUGUAACUGACGCUGAUGCUCGAAAGUGUGGGUAUCAAACAGGAUUAGAUACCCUGGUAGUCCACACAGUAAACGAUGAAUACUCGCUGUUGGCGAUAUACAGUCAGCGGCCAAGCGAAAGCAUUAAGUAUUCCACCUGGGGAGUACGCCGGCAACGGUGAAACUCAAAGGAAUUGACGGAAGG
rnacentral:rRNA from 1 species